rnacentral:rRNA from 1 species
CGAGUUUGAUCCUAGCUCAGAAUUAACGCUAGAAAUAUACAUUACACAUGCAAAUUAAUGAUAAUAUCAUAGUGUAUAGGUGAGGAUAUAUAAAUUUUUAAUUUUAAAUAGAUUAUAAAUUUUAUUAAAUAAUAAUCUAUAAGCGCAAAAAUAUAUGUACUAUAUUAAAAAUUAAUAUUAUUUAAAAUAAAAUUUAUAUUUGAUUAACUAGUUGGUAAUUUAAAAGACUACCAAGGUUAUUAUCAAAAAUUGGUUUGAAAGAAUGUACAAUCACAUUAGGAUUGAAAUAAAGCCUAAAUUUUUAUAAAAAAUCAGCAGUGAGGAAUAUUUUACAAUAAGUGUAAGCUUGAUAAAGUAAUAUUUCUUUUAGGAAGACAGUAUUAUUAAAAUAUUGUAAACUUUUUAUUUUAUUUUUAAAUAUUGAUAAAAAUAAAAAAUAGUAUUUGCUAAUUUCUGUGCCAGCAGCAGCGGUAAUACAGAAAAUGCAAGCGUUAUUCAUUUUAUUAGGCGUAAAGCGUUUUAAGGUUUUAUAUUAAUUUUAUGUUUAAAUAUUUAAAUUAAAUUUAAAAUAAAUUAAUAAAUAAUAAUAUAAUAGAGUAUUAUAAAAGUAUUAAGAAUUUUUUGAGAAGUAGUGAAAUACAAUGAUACAAAAAAGAAUAUCAAAGGCGAAAGCAUAAUACUAUAUAAUUACUGACACUUAAAAACGAAAGCUAAGGUAGCAAAUAGGAUUAGAUACCCUAGUAGUCUUAGCUGUAAACUAUGAAUAUUUUAUAUUUAUAUUUUAUAAAUAUAAUAACUAACGUGAUAAAUAUUCCGCCUGAGUAGUAUAUUCGCAAGAAUGAAAUUCAAAGGAAUUGACGGGAGCUUAUACAAGUGGUGGAACAUGUGGCUUAAUUCGAUGCAACACGAUAAACCUUACCAAAAUUUAACAAUAUUUUUAAUAUUAAGAAAUUAAUAUUUUAAUAAAAUAUAUAGGUAGUGCAUGGCUGUCGUCAGUUCGUGCUGUGAAGUGUUAAUUUUAGUAUUAUAACGAACGUAACCUUUUAUAAAAAAAAUUUUUAUAAUAAAUAAUAAUAAAGAUUACGUCAAGUCAUUAUGCUCCUUAUAUUUUGGGCUGCUCACGUGUUACAUAAAAUAUUACAAUAUUUUAUUAUAUGUUAAAUAUAAUAAUUAAAAUAUAUUUAUAGUUCAGAUUAUAAAUUGAAACUCAUUUAUAUAAAGAUGGAAUCACUAGUAAUCGCUAAUCAGAAUUAUAGCGGUGAAUAAGUUCUUAAGCUUUGUACACACCGCCCGUCACAUC